UACGAAGGGGGCUAGCGUUGUUCGGAAUUACUGGGCGUAAAGGGCGCGUAGGCGGCGUGUCAAGUCAGGCGUGAAAGCCCCGGGCUCAACCUGGGAACCGCGCUUGAGACUGGCAUGCUCGAGUUCGGGAGAGGAUGGUGGAAUUCCCAGUGUAGAGGUGAAAUUCGUAGAUAUUGGGAAGAACACCGAUGGCGAAGGGC
rnacentral:rRNA from 1 species